rnacentral:rRNA from 1 species
CCUACGGGAGGCAGCAGUAGGGAAUAUUGGGCAAUGGAGGCAACUCUGACCCAGCCAUGCCGCGUGCAGGAUGAAGGCGUUAUGCGUUGUAAACUGCUUUUAUAUAGGAAGAAAGAGUUCUUGCGAGAACAGUUGACGGUACUAUAUGAAUAAGCACCGGCUAACUCCGUGCCAGCAGCCGCGGUAAUACGGAGGGUGCAAGCGUUGUCCGGAUUUAUUGGGUUUAAAGGGUGCGUAGGCGGUUUAUUAAGUCAGUGGUGAAAGACGGUCGCUCAACGAUUGCAGUGCCAUUGAUACUGGUAGACUUGAGUGAGAUUGAGGUAGCUGGAAUGGAUAGUGUAGCGGUGAAAUGCAUAGAUAUUAUCCAGAACACCAAUUGCGUAGGCAAGUUACUAAGUCUCAACUGACGCUGAGGCACGAAAGUGUGGGUAUCAAACAGGAUUAGAUACCCUGGUAGUCCACACUGUAAACGAUGAUAACUAACUGUUGGCUUUCGAGUCAGUGGUACAGAGAAAUCGUUAAGUUAUCCACCUGGGGAGUACGCCGGCGACGGUGAAACUCAAAGGAUUGACGG